GCCUCGUUAGCGCAGUAGGCAGCGCGUCAGUCUCAUAAUCGAAUGCAGAAAUCUGAAGGUCGUGAGUUCGAUCCUCACACGGGGCA
rfam:Nematostella vectensis strain CH2 x CH6 NEMVEscaffold_477_Cont28275, whole genome shotgun sequence.